AUCAACGCUGGCGGCGUGCCUAACACAUGCAAGUCGUACGAGAAAGUGGAGCAAUCCAUGAGUAAAGUGGCGACCGGGUGAGUAACACGUGAUUACCUACCUCUAGUGGGGGAUAACUCCGGGAAACCGGAGGCUAAUACCGCAUAACAUCGCUUGAAAUUCUUGAUCAAAGCAGCAAUGCGCUGGAAGAGGGAGUCGCGUCCUGAUUAGCUAGUUGGUAGGUAACGGCCUACCAAGGCGAAUGAUCAGUAGCCGGCCUGAGAGGGCGCACGGCCACACUGGAACUGAAACACGGUCCAGACUCCUACGGGAGGCAGCAGUGGGGAAUUUUGCGCAAUGGGGGAAACCCUGACGCAGCAACGCCGCGUGGAGGAUGAAGUCCUUUGGGAUGUAAACUCCUUUCGACCAGGAAGAUGAUGACGGUACCUGGUGGAAGAAGCACCGGCUAACUCUGUGCCAGCAGCCGCGGUAAUACAGAGGGUGCGAGCGUUGUUCGGAAUUAUUGGGCGUAAAGGGCGCGUAGGCGGUGCGCAAGUCACCUGUGAAAUCUCCGGCUACAACUCGGGAGCUUGCAGGGGAAACUGCUGGUGCUGGAGUAUGGGAGAGGUGCGUGGAAUUCCCAGGUGUAGCGGUGAAAUGCGUAGAUAUCGGGAGGAACACCUGUGGCGAAAGCGGCGCACUGGACCAUAACUGACGCUGAGGCGCGAAAGCUAGGGGAGCAAACAGGAUUAGAUACCCUGGUAGUCCUAGCCCUAAACUAUGGAUGCUUGGUGUAGCAGGGUACCCAAUCCUGCGUGCCGCAGCUAACGCGAUUAAGCAUCCGCCUGGGGAGUACGGUCGCAAGACUGAAACUCAAAGGAAUUGACGGGGGCCCGCACAAGCGGUGGAGCAUGUGGUUCAAUUCGACGCAACGCGAAGAACCUUACCUGGGCUUGAAAUGCUAGGAGACUGGGGUAGAAAUAUCCCUUUCCGCAAGGACCCCUAUCAUAGGUGCUGCAUGGCUGUCGUCAGCUCGUGUCGUGAGAUGUUGGGUUAAGUCCCGCAACGAGCGCAACCCUUAUCUCUAGUUGCCAUCGGUAAGCGUGAGCACUCUAGCGAAACCGCGUCCGGAUAACUAGGAGGAAGGUGGGGAUGACGUCAAGUCCUCAUGGCCUUUAUGUCCAGGGCUACACACGUGCUACAAUGGUCGGUACAAACCGUCGCAAACCCGCGAGGGGGAGCUAAUCGGAAAAGCCGACCUCAGUUCGGAUUGUAGUCUGCAACUCGACUACAUGAAGCUGGAAUCGCUAGUAAUCGCGGAUCAGCACGCCGCGGUGAAUACGUUCCCGGGCCUUGUACACACCGCCCGUCACAUCACGAAAGUGGGCUGUACUAGAAGUCGGUAUCGCUAACUCGCAAGAGGGAGUCAGCCGCCCAAGGUAUUAACUCAUGAUUGGGGUG
rnacentral:rRNA from 1 species